GUUCUUUCUUCCUUCUUACUCUCUCUCUUGCCCCUUUUAGUACAUAACUAACUCACAGAGCCAACCCGGCCUCCAGACUCGGUUCAACUCAGCCCACAUGCACCCCCUCCUGUCAAGCUGCAUCAGUUCUCAGGCUCUCAGUUUGACCAGUAAAGUCUGCAACUUUAUCAAACUUCUCUCUAUAUAACAAGUACAGCACUCUCUAAAGUUUUUUAUUUUAUUUUAUGGUUGUAGUAGAUUCGUAGGUGAAUGGAAUGUGUGUGGUUUUGGUUAAAGUAAAUCCAAGAGCUCAGUUUCCUAAGAAGGAAGUUGAAGUAAGAAAGGAACUUCUUUUUUUAGGUGAAUCAAUGAAUGAUUGACAGCAUAUGAAUGAGUACAUGUAUGUGUGUGUGUGUAGCUAUGUAUGCAUGUGAUGAUAUGAUUGAAUUCUUGUAUGGAAGGAGGCAAAGUGGUAAUUAAAAUGGGACUUGUUGGAAAUAAAUUAAUACUUGCAAGAAAACGAAAGGGAAAGAUUUUGCAAGUCCUUCUAUAUUUGCUCUGGGAGCUGUAUAAACAGAUGAGAUGGUUAAUAAUUGUUGACUUACUGAUUGAUUGGUGUAUAUAUGUCUGUUUUUUUUUUGUUUUUUUUCUCUCUUUUGGUAAGAGCUUCAUGGUUUUGCUGAAGAAUAAUUGAUGAAGAUCUACUUCGGUUGCAGAAUAAGGGUGCUUUUUGUUUGGUUAAAAUAGAAACUGAUGGCUUGCUUUAGAAAUGGAAGCUUAAUAGGAGGAGGUACAUGGUCUCUUGUUUAACGAAACAGUUAUGUUUCAAUAAGACUUGAGUGAACUGGGAAGCUCUCAGGAACAUGUGAAUCUUAGGAAUACCAGUCUGUCAAGCUAAUUGGAGAGAGUGAAGUGACCUGUUGCCAAUGAAUGAACACUUUGGACUUGGAUGCGUUCAGCUACUGUGAAGGGUAGUAAUUAUCUGGGGCAGUAAACUCUGCCGCAGGAUUGAAUUAUCACGUUAGUAAUGAUACACAGUUACAUAGGAGCAGGUUUCUUUCGACAUUGAAUCUACUUUACAUUAACAAAAAGGUUAUUUUUAAUGUAAAGUGACUGCUUUCUUGGAAACCUAUCUAGUAGAUGGCUGAGAUUUUUAAUUAAUGGUACUUGUUGUAAAGUUCAGAUAAAUGCUUCUUUUUACUGUAUUCAGUUAAACUUUUGUCGGGUCUGCCCUUAUUGAUUUGAGCUGCUAAGCAAACUUACAUAAUAGUUCAGAUUUUAUACAUCAUUUUAUGGUGCUUGCUUCAAUUUCAAAGGUUUUAGCAGUCAUGUUCCAAAAAUAAUUGAUUAAAUCUUGUAAGAAUCCUUAACUGCAUCUGAUGUUGCACUUGUUAUUAUGUCUGGUAAGAUGUCGGUUAGAUUCCUUGGUUGCUUCCCUUCUGGCUGACUCACUUUCUCAAUUCUUUAAUCAAAUAGCUAUCAUUUGGAACCCUAGUGAACAUUGAAUGAUAGGUGAUUAUUAUAUCCAAGUCUCCAUGAGUGCUGAUAGAACUUAGAAGGUAUUUUCUCCUACAUUAUAUUUCUUGCGAUCAUAGACUUGUUUGCUGCCAUUUUCUGUACCCUUACAGAUGGUAGACAGCAGAUGAAUGCUGUAUUGAAUAGGGUGCCUUUCCUGGAAGCAAACUCAACCUGGCAAAGCAAUUGCAGCUUUAAGGUUACUCACUCUGGAGAUUUUUUUAUUAGGCCUGCAAAAGCAGGGGGGAUCCGUUGGCAGCUUAAUUAGCUGUCCCUCCAAUGAGAUGCAACUUCAACAAUACAGACUCAAGUAGAUUUCUAUCUUUUGAGAGCAGUACACCUCGGGCCUUUAGUCAAGUAUAUCCAGCAUCGUUUAUGAAAAAAAAAAUUGAACAGGUUUCGAGGGCUCUGCAUUAACUUCUAACAUGGAGGUAGAACCAGAUCUUCGGCCAAUGAUUUCAUCAAGAGUUAAGGGUUUUUUAAGCUAUCAUUUUGUUAUCUAGCGAUUAAUUUUUCUAUUAAGCCUAGAUCUAUUUUAUCUAUAAAUAUAUAUAUAUACUAGACUUAGACUAUUUAUGUAAUCUGUAUAAUGAAAAUUAUCAUUUAAUUAUGGUAGAUUUAUAUCUGAUUGCUCAUAAUUAUCUAUUAUCUCAAGCUCGGCUAUUAUCUCUGGAUUCAAGAGAACUCAUUCUUGAGUUUUAUUUCUCUUUCAAAUGAGGUUAGAUUACCAUACUUGAGCCCAUGCAUCUUAAUCGCUUGAAAAAAUGUUUUUUGAACUUUUAAGGAGUUUUUUUGGGCUGAGGGGUUUUAACCCAUUAAAUUUAGAUUUAUGAGAAAUAAUCCUUUCAAGUUUCAAGUUUCAAGAACCGGAGAUGAGAAAUCAAACUUGUUUGCCAGUACUGAUAAUCUAAAACAGCAGGCAAUAUUCAGUCAAGAAUCACGCUAGCAUUUUUGGACUGUUCUUCUUCCAGGUGGGAAAAGCUCAACUGAAAAGCAUCCAAACCCUCCAGAUAAGAAUCCUCCUCUAAGCAUAAUCAGCAUCAGCAACAAUAUCAUCAGAGAAAUCAAAAUCAUACGGGUCCGGAGCAUCAUUACCAAUUAAUUACCUGCAAUUGCAGUAUCAUGGGGGUGGGUUAAUACGCAGCAACAAGAAACAGUACCACCUCCUAGAAAUCUGCUUCAGCGAAUAAGGAUUGAGGAGGCAUCGAGGUGGAACUUGUUGCAUGAAGCUGAAUAUCGCUGGUCAGCCAUACUGGAAUUUGAGGUUGCUUUCAUUUGUUCAUUGAUGUGACAUGGAAUUGGUGAAAUGUUGAUUCUUCAUUAAUUUUUCAAAAUUUUUUA